rnacentral:rRNA from 1 species
GAGUUUGAUCAUGGCUCAGAUUGAACGCUGGCGGCAUGCCUUACACAUGCAAGUCGAACGGCAGCACGGGGGCAACCCUGGUGGCGAGUGGCGAACGGGUGAGUAAUACAUCGGAACGUGUCCUGUAGUGGGGGAUAGCCCGGCGAAAGCCGGAUUAAUACCGCAUACGCUCUACGGAGGAAAGGGGGGGAUCUUAGGACCUCCCGCUAGAGGGGCGGCCGAUGGCAGAUUAGCUAGUUGGUGGGGUAAAGGCCUACCAAGGCGACGAUCUGUAGCUGGUCUGAGAGGACGACCAGCCACACUGGGACUGAGACACGGCCCAGACUCCUACGGGAGGCAGCAGUGGGGAAUUUUGGACAAUGGGCGAAAGCCUGAUCCAGCAAUGCCGCGUGUGUGAAGAAGGCCUUCGGGUUGUAAAGCACUUUUGUCCGGAAAGAAAACCUUCGCCCUAAUAUGGUGGGGGGAUGACGGUACCGGAAGAAUAAGCACCGGCUAACUACGUGCCAGCAGCCGCGGUAAUACG